UCCUGGUUUGUCUGGGACUGAGGGGUUUCCCCAAUUAUGAGCUUUUCAGUGCCCAAACUGGCACAG
rnacentral:miRNA from 1 species